CGUUCCUGCCCCAGAACUCAGUUGGGGGCUCGGAGCAGGAGAAGCUGCACACGGUGGAUGAAGACCUGAUCAUUGAAGUUCACCAGUUAUUUUUCUCAAGAAUGUGAAUAACAAUGGGAUUUGCACUCAUUAUAUUUUUAGAAUGGCUUCGCAUAAUUUUCAUGCAUCCUGUGGACGAUGAACACAAAUGCAGCUGUGGCCGUGCGUGGCCUGUGUGUGUUGAACGCGUUCCUGCCGUGCGGGAGCCGCCUACCCAGCGGAGCCUCAGAGUCUGAGUUCUCAAUGAGUCAACAUUUUGGGUGUGUAUGCCAAGAGGUGACACGAAACAGAAGUUGGGAUCACUGUGGUUAACCUGAGCAUGUUGGAGACCAAGGAGAGGCUGAUGUUAAUGUUGGAUUUUUGUGAAAAAAGAUUCCUUUCAAAGAAAGACCUGUGACAGUUGGUAAUUGCAGCUAAUGUGUUUCCACAAACAGCCAUUUUGUGUUGGCAUCACACCGUCCACCAUCAGGGUUGCUGACAGGAGCAGUGUUCAGGAGUCUCAGACAGUGGAUUGUGCUGCUUCAGGCGCCUGGUGACUGGAAGGUUUGCAGGCUGCCAGGGGCCUCAGCUGAAGACCUGGACACACAGGACCCACAGAGGCAAAUUGUUCAGUUGACUGUACGGUGUGAGAAUGAAACACUAAUUCCCCUUCUCUACCUCAUAUGAGAAAUGUGAAUUGUCUUUUUUAAAUUUGGGAAUCUGG
rnacentral:lncRNA from 1 species